rnacentral:rRNA from 1 species
CUAACUACGUGCCAGCAGCCGCGGUAAUACGUAGGUGGCGAGCGUUAUCCGGAAUGAUUGGGCGUAAAGGGUGCGUAGGUGGCAGAUCAAGUCUGGAGUAAAAGGUAUGGGCUCAACCCGUACUGGCUCUGGAAACUGAUCAGCUAGAGAACAGAAGAGGACGGCGGAACUCCAUGUGUAGCGGUAAAAUGCGUAGAUAUAUGGAAGAACACCGGUGGCGAAGGCGGCCGUCUGGUCUGGAUUCUGACACUGAAGCACGAAAGCGUGGGGAGCAAAUAGGAUUAGAUACCCUAGUAGUCCACGCCGUAAACGAUGAGAACUAGGUGUUGGGGGAAUAACUCAGUGCCGCAGUUAACGCAGUAAGUUCUCCGCCUGGGGAGUAUGCACGCAAGUGUGAAACUCAAAGGAAUUGACGGGGGCCCGCACAAGCGGUGGAGUAUGUGGUUUAAUUCGAAGCAACGCGAAGAACCUUACCAGGCCUUGACAUCCCUUGCAGAGGUAUAGAGAUAUAUCCGAGGUUAUCAAGGAGACAGGUGGUGCAUGGUUGUCGUCAGCUCGUGUCGUGAGAUGUUGGGUUAAGUCCCGCAACGAGCGCAACCCUUGUCAUUAGUUGCUACGCGAGAGCACUCUAAUGAGACUGCCGUUGACAAAACGGAGGAAGGUGGGGACGACGUCAAAUCAUCAUGCCCCUUAUGGCCUGGGCUACACACGUACUACAAUGGCGUCUACAAAGAGCGGCAAGCCUGUGAAGGCAAGCGAAUCUCAUAAAGGACGUCUCAGUUCGGAUUGAAGUCUGCAACCCGACUUCAUGAAGCUGGAAUCGCUAGUAAUCGCGAAUCAGCAUGUCGCGGUGAAUACGUUCUCGGGCCUUGUACACACCGCCCGUCAAACCAUGGGAGUUGGUAAUGCCCGAAGCCGGUGGCAUAACCCUUCGGGGAGUGAGCCGUCGAAGGCAGGACCGAUGACUGGGGUUAAGUCGUAACAAGGUAUCCCUACGGGAACGUGGGGAUG